rnacentral:rRNA from 1 species
AUUGAACGCUGGCGGCAUGCUUUACACAUGCAAGUCGAACGGCAGCACGGGGGCAACCCUGGUGGCGAGUAGCGAACGGGUGAGUAAUGCAUCGGAACGUGUCCUGUAAUGGGGGAUAACCUAUCGAAAGGUAGGCUAAUACCGCAUACGUCCUGAGGGAGAAAGCGGAGGCUCGCAAGACCUCGUGUUAUAGGAGCGGCCGAUGUCGGAUUAGCUAGUUGGUGGGGUAAAGGCCUACCAAGGCGACGAUCCGUAGCUGGUCUGAGAGGACGACCAGCCACACUGGGACUGAGACACGGCCCAGACUCCUACGGGAGGCAGCAGUGGGGAAUAUUGGACAAUGGGCGAAAGCCUGAUCCAGCGACGCCGCGUGUGUGAAGAAGGCCUGCGGGUUGUAAAGCACUUUUAGUGGGGAGGAAAUGCUCAGACCUAACACGUCUGGGAGCUGACUUAACCCAAAGAAAAAGCACCGGCUAACUCUGUGCCAGCAGCCGCGGU